CAGCCACCAGCCAUGGGUGCCAGAGUUUGCAGCCUGUUGAAGGAAAUCAACACCAAGAACUUCCCAGACACUCCAGGAAGAUGUGAACUCAUUGCGACCCGCACCACCUCCACCAGACAGUCGUUGAGUGCUCUCUGGUGUGUUCAACUCAGAAUAGAUCCUUCCUGCCCCCCAUCGCUGGAAUGUGGGGGUUGUUGUGUGAGAAAGACACCACUGUGGGAGUGAAAAAACACGGAACUUGGAAUGAACUGUCGAGAGAGCAAAUCCUAGCUCUGCUACAGACCCACUGUAUGACCACAGGUGAAUUGACUUGUCCUCUCUGAGCCUCAGUUACCUUAUGCAAAAUGGAGAUUAACAAUACAACCCUCUUGCCCAGAGGCAAGAGAGAAUCACUACACUGGACAACUAUGGGGCCGGGGUUGCUGUUCAAAUAUAAGUCUCUGCAGCAGCUGCUGGUGGCCUAGGAUUAAAUGAGACCACUUUUGCCAUGUGACCUGAAGUUAAUAGUCAAUAAAUGGUAGCUAUUGUUAUGUACAAGUUAGAGGGAAGCAGGGUUCACUGCCAGCCAGCUGGCUGCACAGGCUUUGUUCUUCAAGGAAGGGCAGGGCACUGAGAAGUAGAUUGAUGCAAGCAAAUGCCAGGAGGCAGCAACUCCCAGGGCAGGUCUUGGAGAAAUGAAGCUGGUGAGGGAAGUGGCAAGGAAUUAUCUAGGAAAAGAGAAGCCACUGGAAGCUGGGUAUGGAGCAGGGAUGAAUGAGAGGAGAAUAUUUUAAUUAUCGAGGUGUGAGAAUCCGAAAGAAUAUUGUGCCAGGCCAACAGAGGCCAGGGAGGGAAAGUAGUGAGUCUCCGAGGUCUCACAGCAAGGGCCAAGUUCAGGACUCCUGCCUGUGCAGAAUCCAGCUCAAAUGAUUCCUCCAGCCCAGUUUGUAGUUCCACAAAAGGAAGUCCCUGGCACUUUUCAUAUAUACCUAUACAUAUAUAAUUUUUCUAACUGUAAAAGUAGUUACAGCAUUAUUAAGUUAUAGAAAUAAAAAGAAGAAAAUAUUAUCACCUAUGGGCCUACCAACCAAAGAUAUCACCAUUAGUAUUCUGAUGCAUUUCUUCCAGUAGGUGUCCCACAUAUAAAAUUAUAUAUUCAUUAGAUUGUAAUUGUAUUGUGUACAGUUUCAUGUCCCACCUUUUCUCUGUAAAUUGAGAGUAUUUUAUGAGGGGGGGGGGACUUUUUUAUGCAAAAGAAUCUAGAGAACCUUUUUCUUAGGAAAAAAAAGUGCGAAGCCCCAACCUGCAGUGGUUAGGAGGACAUCCUGCGGGUUACAGGGUGGCUGUGUCUCACGUCCGGUAUGAGCUCCAGCAGUGGCUCAGAGAAAGACAAGCCCUUCUCUACUGUCCUGGCCGGGCUGCAGCCUCCUGCCUGUCAACAAGGCAGAGUUGAUGAAUCUGCACUCACCCUUCCUUUCCUGACACAGGAUGUGUGAUCAUCCACUCCAAACAGAAGGCUGUGGGGUUGUGAUCAUUAUUUUACUGGUUAAUAACAACAGCAUCUCAGUCUGUGCAGCACAGCCUUUUCUCAUGUGUUGUCUUACCCAAGAUACACACCCCGCGAGGCAAGUAAGACAGAAGCUGUUAUUACCCAUUGUACAGAUGAAGAAACAGUUGAUAAGAGGUUUAGUGUCUUAUUUGAGGCCAUGCAACCAGUAAGUGACAGAGCAGGGAUUUUAUGAAGAUCUUGCUGACAUCCACUCUAAUGAUUUUUUUUUCCUCUAAACUUUUCUUUCUAGUUUUAGCUUUUCCUAAGCUAAACAGAAUCCCUUUAGUGAGGCCAAAGAUGAGAGCUGAGUAUUAUGGGCAUGUGGAAAGGACACGGUACGCCACCCUGGAGUCUUAAGGCAAGUCCUGCUGGCUCUGGCUGGGUGUGCUGGGUGGCCUGACCUCAGGUCAGCUCUUCCAGGAUAGCUCAGAGCUAGCAUUAUUGGAAUUUUGGGUAGUGAGUUCAAGGAGGCAGCUGUUUCCAGCAGAGGCCCUCUUCUUCAGGCAUCCUUCUUGACCCACCCAAGCUGUGAAGGUUCAUUCCCCGCCCAGGGCUCCAGAGUCACAGUGCAUCCCAGAACAGAACAGGGUCUUUACAGAGGGACUGUGGUUCUCUGUGAGACUGACUGUAACUAAUGGAUUUUUGUAUCCCUCAGGUGGUUUCCCAGUAUUGCUGCUGUAACAAAUUAUCAUAAACUAAGUGGAUUAAAACAACACAAAGUUAUUAUCUUCUAGUUUUGUAGGUCAGAAAUCCCAAGUGGGUCUUAGUGAAUUAGCAGGCCUGCAUUCCUUUCUGGUGGCUGUAGUAGAGAAUCUGUUUCCUUGCUCUUUCCAGGUUUAGAGGCCACCUGCAUUCCUUGUUUUUGGCCUCUUCUUCCAUAUUCAAAACUAGCAACGGCUUCCAAGUAAUGCCAUCUCUCUGGUUCUGACUCUUCUACCUCCUUCUUUGUGUAAGGGCCCUUGUGAUUACAUUAGACCUAUCCAGAAAAUCCAGAAUAAUCUUUCGGAGCUGAUGAGCAACCUUAAUUCUCUAUUGCCAUGUAACAUAACAUAGUCACAGAUUCCAUGCUUUAGAAUGUGGACAUUUUUAUUCUACCAUGGACCACUAUUCCGCCUACUCUUCUGGGUUCCCCAAGGGCCACAUUCUCAGGCAUAGACAGCAGGCCAGGCCAAACAACAGAGUAUGGCCACCAUUGUUAGAGUGGUCUUUUGUGCCUGGGUCCCCUCCCACCUGCCCAGAGACCCUAGGGCUUCCAAGGACUGGGGCCAGAGCCUAGCCUCUGAGAACUAAAGAGCCUAGACCCUGAGAGCUAAAGGUAGCUCCAGUGCUGUGGGGACAGGCAGCCAAGUAUUGGAGCCCUUCUACCUCUGUAUCCCUGUCUGCCCCUGGCAGCCAGUUUCCCUGGCUCCUCUCCUCAAUAUGACUGCCUUACUCAUUCCCAUCCCUGAUCCUUUCCCUGGGCCUCAGGCUGGAACUUUGUAGGGGCCUGAGGGAGCAGGAGGCCCCCUGUGGAGCCUCUGUCCCUGGGAUGCCUGCUGAGGUCCUGAGGAAUCUAAGAUCCAGCAGGAGGGCCUGUGCACAGUGCAAGGAAGAAGGGGCCAUACAAGGCCUUUGCCCAGGACUUUCUCAGUUUGCAUGCUCAAAGUCCCAUAUCCCAGGAAACACCUCAGUCCCGAGCAAACUGGGCAGUUGGUCAUCUUGCCUCCAAGGCCCUUUGCCCCUCCUAAUCGACUCUAGAUUACCUUGACAGCCUGGAAGUCCACCCUUUUGGACUCUCGGAUGCCAAACUCUGCACUGUAUCUGGGAGCAGAGAGACCUGGGGCCUGAGGAAGGGCCCCAGGUGAGUACCAGGAAAGUAGAUUCCUGCUUGCAGUGCUCCUAGAAGAGGCAUCACUCCUGGGACCAUGCCUGGGUCUGCAUGGGACAGAGCUCCUCAAUACAUGCACAGGGGAGUGAAAAAUUGUGUUUGCACCCAGUCUCUAAACAUUUAACAGCCUGAUUGCUUCUGGGUGGUAUAGUGCGGGUGGCUUUAAUUAGUGUUUCUAUUUACUCAUUUAUAUUUCUUACUCUAUACAAUUAAACAUGUUCCUUUUUACUUGUGUACAUUUUUAAUAAAGUAAUUAAUGACUUAGCCAGAAGUCCUGCUGAGGGACAUGGAUGGGUUGUGCUGCAUGUCAUAGGACCCAGUGGCCCUUGUUCUGGGGCCUUUGGCUACUGGUUGAUCGUGGCGCAUUCCGCCCAAGGCUCUACUGCAGGGGCAGAGCUAGUUAGCACUCUGUGCCCUCUCUGCCAUUUAGCCUGCUUCCUGCACCUCAGAGUCCAUCCUGGCUUGUCCCCAAGGAAGGACUCAGAGAAUCAGGUGGACAUUGGACAGAGCAGGUGAGCAGAGAUAAACUGCAGGGCUUUGCCAACACAGAAUUUUGCAGGAGGUGCUCUCAUGCACAGAUCCUGCCUGUGCAGGACCUCCUCCUGUGAGAAUAUGCAGAUAAGCUGCUGGUCCCUUGAGAGCUUGCCAUCUGGCCAGAGGGGGUUGGGCACAUGGGGAAUAGCAGGCAGGAAGGGGACUGGUGAGGUUUUCACCUAAGUGAGCUGUCAGAUAUGGGAGGGUCCCAAGGCCACACUGCAUGUGUCUCAGUCCAGCCAGAAACCCAAAUGGGGGGUCUGCCCGAGUAUCCCGAGGCAGGCCUCCCAAGUGCGGACAGAUGUUCUUCUGGGAGGAAGACUCUGGCUGCUUCCAGGUCAUGACAGAAGGGUGGUGAGGACUGGUCACCAUGCUGUUCUGAGUCCUAGGUGGCUGGACACCCUUCAGGUCCUCCUCCUGCCACAUCCCAUUCCCAUACACCUAGAAGCUCAGCCCUUACCCUGGCAAGCCCAGAAGGGACCCUGAGAAGGGAGCCCCGAGUUCCGCACAGAGGCAACCACCCUUCACCUCCACGCCUCAAUUCACCCUCACCGUUGUGAUGAAAGGGUGAUGAAAGGACUUCUUGACUUGUUCUGUUUUAAGGAAAGUAAUUGCUUUUCUGGCCUAACAACUCCCCCCAUCUCUAUUCACCCCAGAUCCCCAAACACCAACUCCAUGUUCACAUAACCACACAUAUUCCUCUUUCCAUGAAGUCAGCUUUCUCGGAGAAGCUUGUGCACAGUUCCCCCCACCCCCACCCCAGGACUCAUGUGGCCUGAGCCACUUAUUUUGCUCCUAAACUGUGAUCCCAAGUAUAACUCUUCACUUGUCUGAGCAAAGGUGUGGCUGAAUAUUUUUAACUGCUGUGGAAGACCUCACUGCACCUGCCUUAAUUCUAGGCAGAUUCAGGAUUGACAGUGUGAGGCAGAAGUUGGUAGUAAACCAGAUACCUCACAUCCCCUGGCUGUUAAGGAAAAAGGGAGGGCAGAAACAGAAGGACCCAGGCCAAUCUAUGGCAUAAGGAUAGCAAUGAAAGUGAGAGGCACCCAGGCUGGGGAGGCCUUCCCUGAAGGAAGCCUGCCAGUGUGGCUGAGAGCUCACCUGAUGUAGGGUAGCAAACAGCCAGCUCCCAGAAAUGCUGGGUUUUCUCAGAGACCAAGAAGCCAGGAUUAGACUCAGUACAGCCAGAGGGUGGCUCCAACCUUACACCUGAGAGUUGGGAGGCACCUUUGGUCCUGACCUGUACAGUCACCCAGAGUCUAGAUCUCUGAGGACCUCAAGACCCAACAAAGCGUCUAAUUUAAAGCAGAACAAGAGAGAUCCAGUUGCUUUGCUCAGGCAGAAACGCAGUUGAAAAGUCCUCUUUGAUCCCUGAGAUAAGACCUGGCAGGCCAGAGUCCCCUGGAGCUGGAAGCUGGUUCAUAAACAGACUUGCGUGCUUCAGCUGCCCCCUGCACUGAGACCAAGUUACAGGCCUGUGUCCCACCCCCUGGGGGACACACCCUUCAAACUGCAAGUGGCCUCCAGGACAUUUGUGGGGCAUUGCUCCCCUUGAGGACCCUAGGACCUCUUUGGGACCCUAGGACCGUAGCCACAGAGCCACGUUGCCUGGAGUGGGGGCAGGGAACUGAGGGCACAGUGUCCAGAGCAGCUUUAGGGUUUGCUGCCUUCCCUCAGUGUCCCCAAAUGCUUUCUUUCUUUCUUUGCUUUUUCCUUCUUCUUUUUUCUUUUAUAAACCUUUGUGUUGAGAGCUGCUGACUCAAUAGAUUACAACAAAGUAGCUGCUCUGCUACCUGUGAAACCCUGACCCAGAAGCAGGUUGCCUACAAGUGGUUUAGCACCAGGUUCCCCAGGAGUAUGCAGGGCCCAAAUGCUUUUUUGGCUUGAGGUGCUAGCUGCCCCAGGCAAGUUCUUCCAAACUUCUUCCCGAGGCCUCAGUUUCCUCCUCUGUGGGCAGCCUGACAUUGUGGAACCAGUUUGGGUUCUGGGCACAGACAGAUGUGGGUUGGAAUUCAGGCCUCCUACUGAUUAGCUGAAUCAUCCUGGGCAAGCACCUUAUGCCAGUCGAGCUUUGGUUUCCGGAUCUGUGAACAGGGGCUGUGGUGUGGUGCCAGUGCCAUGGUGCACACAGGGUAAUUGGCACAGUGCCUGGUGCAGAGUGAGCACUUGAGGCUACGCUGUAAUUACGCAGCUGGACAGUGAGGUCCUUUCCUGUUCUGCUCCUUUCUGAGUUCGUGGAGCUGGAUCAGGGAUGAUACAAUGGAUAAAUAGCUGUCUCUUCCCUUGUACUUAGUCCCCAUGUCUUUGCUUCAUUGCCUCCAAUAUUUUCCCAAUUAAAAUUAAACUCAGCAUAGAUUCCCUAGGCCUGCCUCACCCUUGAGCCUGCAGAAGUAGGGACUUCUUCUCAGCUCCCCAGCCCUAGGAUUUCAGCAGAAAUGGGUCUUGUGGGAACUCCCUAUAGCUAGGAAAACCAGGCGGCCAACAAGCUAUGUCCUUGUGCUGGCUUAGACUUGGCCUCACAAGGGAGCUCUGGCUGUCAAAGACAAGUCUCACCCUGCCCAGUACUCUGACUCCUGGAAAAGGGAGUAUAUGAGUUCUUUGAUCUCCUUGCAAGCCCCUGUGACUGCUGGCACAUGUGGGGAAAGGAUAGUGCAGAGUUCAGAUGAAUUUCACACAUCCUCAGGAUGAGGGUUAGUUGUGCCCAGAGUAAGAAAGGGCAUUACAUCUGACAGACAAAAGCUUCCUGGGUGUUCCAACAGGGCUGCUGAGGAGUCCUGUACCCUAGUAAUACAAGGAUUUUUGGAUAUGUGCAAACUGUGUGAAAGAAGACCAAAUGGUCCCAGAGGAUGACAGCCUGGGCGUGACCCAGCCCCACCAGCCAGUGGGCAUCACUCCCAGAGGAAAGGACUUCACCUCCAGCCAGGCCGGGACUCUUUCCAAGACUUUAGUUCUUUCUUUGGCAAUCCCAUCCAAGAUUUUUAGAGAUCUGAGAAAGCAUUAUCUUGCACACAGUGCACUGAGAGAUGUUGAAAACCGAUACAACCAAGAAGGGACGGUUUGCACCUGUCUUCCCUAAAGGUCUUCUGCCACAGUGAGCAUGGCCAUGAGCAUGAGUAUGGGCAACUGGCAUAUUAGCCUCUAGCUUUCUUGCUACUGGCAAGAGAGCUGACUGAAAAAUAACCAUCUAAAGUGACCCUUUUGGAGUGAGGCAAAGAAACUCCCUUUACUAACCGGAAAUGCCCCUGAACCUCUAUAGAUUUAGCAGGAGCUCUGGCUAGUGGGGCUGAGCCCCACAUUGCCAGUUUACCCCAUUGAAAAGUGGUCCUUCCUGACAGUGGUAUCAUCACAAUGCCAACAAUGAUCUUACAGUGAGCCGCUAGCUUCCUCAGCCAAGAGCUUCUACCAUUAGUGCUUAAACUGAAAUUCUUGGAAAUGUGCCACGGAAGCAUUGGCAGGUCCUUUGAAUGAACUUAAAUUAACUCAUCCAAAUUUGACACAGAUUAUGCUGAUAUUGCUCCAUUUCCAACACUGGCUAAUAAGUUUGUGUCAGCUGCCAUCAUCUAUAGGUGAGCAGUUGGAUUUUCUUCCUUCUCCUGUCAGGCGUGGGUUGAGGUCCACGGUGGGAUGUACUAGGACAGCUCACCAUCCUGGAAAGUCUGGCUCUAUCCCACACUACUCUUCCAGGUCUCUUCCCUAGGACCCAACUCCCUUGUGAUGGGAGGGGUAGAGUUUUGGGGUCCCCCCCUGGGCAUUACAAGGAGUUGUUUAGGGUGCCUAGAGUAAGAGCUGGAGACCAGACCUCCAUCUUGGUUCUGGAGAUUGGAAGCUCACUGAUGGAGUGCCUCUCCCAUUUUGGUAACUUAGAAGUGAUGAGCUUUGCAUAUUAGAACUUGAGAGAUUUCUGUACCUGCCUGGGACUUCAACAUAUCUAUUACCUACUCUGUCAGGAUUAGGUUGAAGGACAAGAAGAAAGGUCAGAAGCAGUCCCUGCUGUUCGGUCUGGGUUGCAUCCCUUCCCUCCCAUCCCUACCUGGCCACACCACUCCCAGCCAUCCUUAGCUAGAAAAGCCACCCACUAGAAGACCUUCUCAAGCCCCAUUAGGAGCUAUAAGAAGCUAGCCUCCCCAGUGUUGUUUUCCUCAAUAAGGGCUGUACCCUUCUCUCUCCCCUUCUGCCCCUAGGUGAUGCUAACUAACUCUUGAAAAGUCCAGGUGGAUCUUCUGAUGGGCAGGGCUUAAGAUUGGAGGCUACCCAGGCAUCCACAAGCAGAAUGUCCACCCAGCAGGAGGCCAUCUACCAUUCACACGGCACUUCCAGACCAGGGAACACUAUUUCCUGAACUUGGCAGAGAAUGUCUGACUAAACUUUGCCCAUUUUCCAGUUUUUUCA